rnacentral:lncRNA from 1 species
GUGCAUCGUUGAUCUGCAUUGAUCUGUUUCUUUGGGGUAAGGCCUAGUUUCCCCUGUAAUUAUUUUCUUUUUCUUUUUUUAAUAAUAAUAUGAGCUACAUGUGGAGGACGGGGAAGGAUAGAGCUAAGGUGUUUAAAUUUUGGUAUCGAGUAAUCAAUGUUUAUUCAUUUGUUUUUAAUUAAAGUUGUGUUUUAUUCGAUCGUUAAUUUAUUUUUUU